rnacentral:misc_RNA from 1 species
GAAUUGCGAUAAGUAAUGUGAAUUGCAGAAUUCAGUGAAUCAUCGAAUCUUUGAACGCACAUUGCGCUCCUGGGUAUUCCCGGGAGCACGCCUGUUUGAGAAUCGAUAAAUCCCUCUCGGAACAAGUUUGUUUGUGGGCUUUAUUGUCCUCGCAGACUUGAACCGACGGAUGUGGGUCCUAUUUGGACUGUUGCCUUGUUGCGACGGAACAAUGACCUUAAAUUGAAUGUCCACAGCUGUCACUUUCGACCUGGUGAGGUAAAUGCCCUUGAUUGGGCAGGCCCUCGAGCGUGCUAGAAUGUAAAAAACUUUAGUCGCGUUCGUUUUAAAGGCUGCUCGCUGCAUGUGUAGGAUUGGCUGUGUUGAACUCAACAUUUAUCGGGGUUGAAUUGGGUGCAGUUUGCGCUCUUUGACCCUAAAACUUGGUCUCAAAUCAGGUAGGACUACCCGCUGAACUUAAGC